ACUAACAAGGAUUCCCCUAGUAACUGCGAGUGAAGCGGGAAAAGCUCAAAUUUAAAAUCUAAUGGUCCUUGGCCAUUCGAGUUGUAAUUUAGAGAAGCGUCUUCCGCGCCAGACCAUGUACAAGUCUCCUGGAACGGAGCGUCAUAGAGGGUGAGAAUCCCGUCUUUGACAUGGACCCUUGGUGCUUCUGUGAUGCGCUCUCAAAGAGUCGAGUUGUUUGGGAAUGCAGCUCAAAAUGGGUGGUGAACUCCAUCUAAGGCUAAAUAUUGGCGAGAGACCGAUAGCGAACAAGUACCGUGAGGGAAAGAUGAAAAGCACUUUGGAAAGAGAGUGAAACAGUACGUGAAAUUGUUGAAAGGGAAACACUUGAAGUCAGUCGCGUCGAUCGAGACUCRGCCUCGCCUUUGGCUUGGCGUACUUCUCGACUUGACGGGCCAGCAUCAAUUUCRUCCCUCGGAUAAUGGCAGGGGAAAGGUGGCACCUUCACGGGUGUGUUAUAGUCUCUUGUCGCAUGCGAGGGGUGGGAUUGAGGAACUCAGCACGCACCUCACGGUGUCGGGGCUUCGGCCCACGUUACGUGCUCAGGAUGCCGGCGUAAUGGCUUUAAAUGACCCGUCUUGAAACACGGACCAAGGAGUCUAACAUGCCUGCGAGUGUUCGGGUGGAAAACCCGUGUGCGUAAUGAAAGUAAAAGUUGGGACCUCUGUCGUGGAGGGCACCGACGCCCGGACCAGACCUUCUGUGACGGAUCUGCGGUAGAGCAUGCAUGUUGGGACCCGAAAGAUGGUGAACUAUGCCUGAAUAGGGUGAAGCCAGAGGAAACUCUGGUGGAGGCUCGUAGCGAUUCUGACGUGCAAAUCGAUCGUCAAAUUUGGGUAUAGGGGCGAAAGACUAAUCGA
rnacentral:rRNA from 2 species